AUGAUGGCGUUACCUAGAUUUGGUGAUCUUCACCUUAAAAGGUUAGAAGAGAUCGAAAGCAAUGUCAGGAGUUUUAUGGUUUUGCAAUUUGAACAUAAUAAUUUCUUCAGAAACGAGCUUAAGGAACAAAAAAGCUUUAUGAGUUAUAUGAAUAAAGAGCUCCAUGAUAUGUCUAAAGAAUUUGAUGGUUUGAGAUCCCAAAUUGCUCGUCUUGAAAAAUUGAUAGCUGAAAUAUCGGAUGAGCAGGCUACCUUAGUUAAUAAGAUGGCCGCUAAACCGGAUUUCUAUGAAAAUAAAGAUGAAGAUCUAAAAGUUAUUGGUGUGUCCCCUAUUAAAUCUUUGUUUUGCAAUAUGAAUCUUGAUAAUGAUGGGACUGAAUAUGAUCCACCUUUACCUAGAAGGCGUUCCAAAAAAUCGGAGUUUUUAGAUCUUGAUGCUAAAUUUGAUAAAAGUGGGAUUGAAGAAAUCAAAACCCUAGAUGCUAAUAAACCAACUAUUUUGGAUUUCAAGGAAUUUAAUUAUGAAAAUUGCUCUUUGAUUGAUUGUAUUUCCUUGUUGCAAUCCGUGCUAAAUUCUCCUCAUGCUUAUAGUCAAAAUAAAGCGUUUACUAAACAUAUCGUUGAUGCCUUGAUGCAAUCUUAUGAAGAAAAGCUUGAGUUGGAAGUUUCUAUCCCUAGAAAACUUUAUGAUGAGUGGGAACCAACUAUUAAAUUAAGAUUAAGGAUCAUGAGUUCUAUGCUUUAUGUGAUUUGGGUGCUAGUGUUUCCACUAUUCCCAAAACUUUGUGCGAUUUGCUAG
rnacentral:rRNA from 1 species